AAGCAAACAAAUUUGGUCUCCAUUCCUCUUGAAUAUAUACAUCAUCAUCAUCCAUUCAAGUGAGACAACAAAAAUAGGACCCAGGGAACCUUCGAGAAAAAAACAAAAGAAAAAGGGACCAUUUUAUUCUAAUUUUGAGGAUAUACACAUAGGCAUCAUGAUAAUGGAUAGGUGGGUCCCACAGGAAAGCUUCCUAUUCAGAAUUCCAAAAUUAAGGAAUAUAUAUAUAUACACACGCCAUAUACAAGAAAAAGAAAAAGGCCAUUUUCUUCUUCUUCUUCUUAGACAAGGACCCUAAUUUUGGAGCUUUUUUUUCUUCAAAAACAGCACAUACAACACCAGGCACACACACACACGAUCGAGGGAGAGAGGGAGAGAUGGUGAGAAAAGAGUGAAAAUCGAUCAAGGGAGAGAAACGAGCGUUGGUUUGACCGUUUCCGGUGAGUCUCUCGCCGGAGAUCCAUCAAAAUAGAGCUAGAAAGCUCCGGCGAUUGCUGUUGCGUCGAAACCCAUAGGAAAACAGUCACGCCAACCUUGUUCCAGAUCUACGUUGAAUAGCCACCUUCAUCUACUCCGGCGAGAUUUGGUUAACUCUGGUGAGUCGCGAUAUCGGAAGAAAACAGGGAGGUCGUCUUUGGAAUGUUGGGUCAAGGUUCUGCUAGUUCAUGGUUCCCAAUCUGCGAAGCUCCUUCAUUUGAUUGAAUAAAAGCGGGAUUAAGGUCUAUUUUUUAUCUCGUUUCCUAUUCUAUUGUUGAAUUUUGGUUAAUUGUCGUGGAUGAAUAACUUGUUUGUUUGGUAGAUUUGAAUCUUUGUUGUGCAUUGGUUGAUGUUGGAUUUGAAUGUGAAAACUUGAUUUGGUGAAUUGCGUAUUAAAUUGAUUAAAUUAUGUUGAGAAUGGAUUUAAGGGAAUGUUAAUCGAAAAUUGAUAAAAGUGAAUAUGUUGAUAUUUUGAUUCAUUGUUGAUGUUAAACGUGAUAUGCCUUUGAGCGGAUAGGCAAACACUAGGCUUGGGUAGGUAAAUUUAUAAUUGAUGGAUUAUUGGAAUUUUGAAUGUGUUGGUUUAUGUUUUCGGAUUGAAAUGUAUUCAUUUGGCCGGGGAAUGCCCCAAAGAUUGAUGUAUUUAUUCACCGGGGAAUGUCCGACGUAUCAUGUUGGCGAAGGCGGAUCGUGAUCAAGGUCCGAGGCAUCGGGUAAAGCACGAGACCGUAGUUAGGAUUAGCAUAGGUUUUAUAUUUUUCUCAAUUCUCCUAUUUUGGACUGUAUAAUUGGGACUGAACAAUAUUAUUUUGGUUUUGGUUUGUUGUUUGAUGUUUGUUUGGGUGUUUUAUGUGGUUUAUACACUCUUAGUGUCAAAUUAUGCCGAUACAUUCCACCGAGAGAUCGUGUUCAAACCACGGGAUCGAGGGGUUCCUAACACCUUUCCUUCGGUCAACAUAAUUUCUUAAUCGGAAUCUCUAUUUGCAAGCCAGUUUUAAGAGUCACAUUGUUUUGAAAAGGUUUUUCUCAAGGUGACUUAGCACACCAAAUUUAUGCCAAGUGGUGACUCUGAAUAAAAAUUAUAAAUAGUCCCUUUUGAAACGAAAAUCUUCAUUUGUCACUUUUUAAUAAAAACCCUUUCGAAACCUUAAAACAAAUUUUUUUUUUUAGUUGAAAAAGGGGUGUGACAGUUCCGACCAAAUGGUUUGAUCGCGUUGAAUCUUCCACGAGUACCUUUCGGGAUAUUAUAGCCUCCGGCGCUGCAAUCUUCAAUGGAUUCAUGGGGUGCUAAGAGUGGUGUAGGUGGAUAUAAGCGUAACGAUUCUUUAACAAUUGCUUGUAAAUAGACCAAGUUUUUUAUAUGUGACUCAUUAACUAGCGUAUCUUUUCCAACUUGAAUGUCUAGUUCUGCUUGGACCUUUUGCAUUGUUAUUGAGUAGCAAAGAGAGAGUCCAUGUUAAUGCUACAACUGUGGUGUCAGUCCCUCUUGCUAACAUAGCCUUAAUUCCAAGAUAGGGAAAACAAGAGUAAAAUAAAAAGGAAUUAAACAAAAAAAGAAUCAGUAAAUUAUAUAAUAACAUCUAAAAAUCAGUACAUGUAUGUAGUUACACAAAUUAAAAUGAAAAACUAAAAAUUUAGAUAGUAUGUAUGUAUUUAUAUGUGUGUGUUAAUUUGAUAAAGAAAUGAAUUUUGGACCUAGUUCAAUCUCAAAUCAAGCUAAUAAGGGAAGAUUAUUCAAGACCAUAUAAAACGACCAAAUUAUCCUCCCUAAGUGGAACUCUAGUCAGGCCCAUCCUAAUUUACUGUUUGUGAUACCAUCAUAUUAAAAAUUGUCGACGCUCCAGAUUCUGACUUUGGUUGUGGGAGGGAGGAGGGGAGGAGGUGUGUGUGAAGAAGUCUCGCAUUAGUAGGUAAUAAUAUGCAGAGUCUUUUUAUAUGGUUUGGACAAUCCUCAUGUCUAGUUUGAGUUAGGUCAACGAUCAUUUCUUUAAUAUUUUUUUUUUUUUUUUACCUGUAGUAACGUACUAGUUUUAAUAAUCACACACAUAAAAUCAAAGAGAGAAUGUAGACUAAGGUACACCUACGAAGCAUGUAGAUUUGAUAAUGGUAUCAGCAUCUAAACCAGGAAGAUCUUCAUCCCUGGCACCUUCAAAAAAGGACAACAUUAUAUCCAUAAAGUCUUUUUCAUCCUCAUUUUUCAAUUCUCCACAACUUCUCUUUCUUUUGUGCUCCACUAGCCAAUUUUCAAGUAUACAAUCUGUUUCCUUAGCAUUCUCCUUCAUUUCUUUCUCAUAUCCUCCUAUAUCCAACCAUCUUAAUGAUGGUAUAAAAUCAGCAACAACAAAUGUACCUAGUAACUUGAAAAAUUUUCUAAUUGCUAUUCCAGCCCUUUGUCCUUCAUCUAAAUCAUAUUCUUUUCCAAAAAGCAUUCUUACAAUAAUGGUCAUGAUCAAGUUCUCAAACCAGUGUUUCAUUUCUAUUUUGAUGAAAUUUGAAGAACUACUCAUUUUUUCCUUCGACCACCUUUCGUAUGUUGUUGUGAUGGACGUUUUCACUUCAAAUUCUCGAAUGUGUCUAAACAUUGGUACACGAUGAUUGGAGAGUAAUUCGAGUACUACUAGCUUUUUCAUUUCUCGCCAAUAUGGGCCAAGCCCAAAAAUGGCAUAGUUGUAGCCCAAGAACGCUUUAGGCCGGCUCGGCAACGCCUUGUCGUUGAUGGUUAAGCAAUCUUGGGCUAUCUUCCAAUCGUUCACCACCAAAACUUGAUGGGCUCCAAAUUUUACUGUGAAAAUUGGCCCAUAUUUGUCUGCCAUAAGCCCAAAGAUUUUGUGAGGCAGCCCAGAUCCACUGAAAAGGUGGAGAUGGCCGAUUACACGCCACGAUCCAGCAACUUUAGGGGGUGUUCUCCUAUUAAAGUUGCUAUUUUUGUGAUUUAAAAUCCCCAAAAGCAUGUAAAUGAAGUAGAAAAAAAUAAUAAAUGUAGUAACACAAGUAAUGGCAAGAGAGAAGUCCAUUAUCUCGAAAUUAGAGGAAGAAUGAUUACUUAGAUGACUAAUCAGUUAGGAUCAAGGUUGAGUAUGUUUUAUAUAAGAUGAAAAUAUAGCAAGAUUGCAUAAUCACUCCACGUGAAUUACAUUGAUUUUGAUAUAUCAGCUAAUCAAAUAUUUUAGUACUUAAGAAAAUUUAAAGCAUUGUUGUUACGCUAGUGAGAAAAUGGCAGCAAAGACGUGGAAAGUAACGCAGGGAAAUUUUCGAGUUAAUAACUCAAAUGGUCACUCAACUUUAGACUUUUAUCCCAGAAAGCCACUCAACUUUGAUCUUUAUUUCAAAAGUCACUUAACUUUUACGUUUUUACUCAAAAAGUCACUCAAACUAUUUAAUCAUUUUUGUAAAUAACAUUUGCGUGGAAUUAUUAUUUAAAUGCAAAAUUCAAAAAAAUAAAAAAUUGUCUCUUAAUGACCUUUUUAUCCUUAUUCCCAUAAAUUAAUUUCCUUUUCUCAUUUUUCUUCUCCUUCUCACAUAUUGUAAUUGAUUCAACAUUAAAUAUGUCAAAUAAAAUAUUAAAAGAUCAAAUUAAAUUUAACAAUAAUCGAAGGAUAAAAAAUUAUUAAUAUAAACUAUAUUAAUACGAUGAAAUAUAACUAAAUGAUAUGUAAUUUAACUCAUUUAUUACUAAAAGUCAUGUGUACGCAAUUAUUACAUACAUAUAGUGAAUCCCUAUAACGUAGGUAUAUUACUUAUAAUAUUUAAUUAUGGGUAUAAAAUCCCUAAUUCAUCAUACAUAUACAGUGUUAUGUUUUAUCUUUCUGGGAUAACCGAAGGAUAAAAAAUUAAGAAGUGUUUUCUUCAAAAAGGAAAGAAUGACCGAAAGACAGCAUAUUGAUAUGGAAGCCAGGCCACGAG
rnacentral:lncRNA from 1 species